UAGGGAAUAUUGCUUAAUGGGCGAAAGCCUGAAGCAGCAACGCCGCGUGUGUGAAGAAGGCCUUCGGGUUGUAAAACACUUUUUGAGGGGAUGAGGAAGGACAGUACCCUCAGAAUAAGCCUCGGCUAACUACGUGCCAGCAGCCGCGGUAAAACGUAGGAGGCGAGCGUUAUCCGGAUUUACUGGGCGUAAAGCGCGUGCAGGCGGCACGGCAAGUUGGAUGUGAAAGCUCCCGGCUUAACUGGGAGAGGUCGUUCAAAACUGCCGAUCUAGAGUGCGGGGGAGGGAGGUGAAUUCCGGGUGUAGUGGUGAAAUGCGUAGAUAUCCGGAGGAACACCAGUGACGAAAGCGGCCUCCUGGUCCGCAACUGACGCUCAGACGCGAAAGCUAGGGUAGCA
rnacentral:rRNA from 1 species